GGAGGUCUAGCUCAGUGGUAGAGCACUUGCCUACAAUGCUGGAGGCCCUGGGUUCUACUCCCAGGACAGCAA
rnacentral:tRNA from 1 species